rnacentral:rRNA from 1 species
GGACCCGCACAAGCGGUGGAGUAUGUGGUUUAAUUCGAUGCAACGCGAAAAACCUUACCAGGGUUUGAAAUCAUUUCAAAACUCCUUGAAAGAGGAGCCUCCUUCGGGAUGAAAUGACAGGUGGUGCAUGGCUGUCGUCAGCUCGUGUUGUGAAAUGUCGAGUUAAGUCUCGUAACGAGCGCAACCCAUGUCUCUUGUUGCUCUUUGAGUGCUUAAGAGAGACUGCCGACCAACAUCGGAGGAAGGUGUGGAUGAUGUCAAGUCAGCAUGCCCCUUACAUCCUGGGCUACACACGUACUACAAUGGUAAGGACAAUGAGCUGCAAGCCUGCGAAGGUUAGCCAAUCUCAAAAACCUUAUCUCAGUUCGGAUCGCAGUCUGCAACUCGACUGCGUGAAGCUGGAAUCGCUAGUAA